rnacentral:tRNA from 2 species
GGCCCUAUCGUCUAGUGGUUAGGACAACAGGUUUUCAAUCUGUGAACCCGGGUUCGAUCCCCGGUAGGGUCACCC